GAUGAACGCUAGCGGCAGGCUUAACACAUGCAAGUCGAGGGGCAGCACGAUGUAGCAAUACAUUGGUGGCGACCGGCGCACGGGUGCGUAACACGUAUGGAACUUGCCCUUUACUGGAGGAUAGCCCGGAGAAAUCCGGAUUAAUACUCCAUAACAGUUGAGGUGGCAUCACCUUGGCUUGAAAGCUCCGGCGGUAAAGGAUGGCCAUGCGCACGAUUAGCUAGUUGGUGAGGUAAUGGCUCACCAAGGCUACGAUCGUUAGGGGCCUGAGAGGGUUAUCCCC
rnacentral:rRNA from 1 species